rnacentral:rRNA from 1 species
UACGUAGGUGGCAAGCGUUGUCCGGAUUUACUGGGCGUAAAGAGCGCGCAGGCGGUCGGCCAAGUCGAGUGUGAAAGCCCCCGGCUCAACUGGGGAGGGUCAUUCGAUACUGGUCGACUCGAAGGCAGGAGAGGGAAGCGGAAUUCCCGGUGUAGUGGUGAAAUGCGUAGAUAUCGGGAGGAACACCAGUGGCGAAGGCGGCU